rnacentral:rRNA from 1 species
GUGGGGAAUAUUGGACAAUGGGCGAAAGCCUGAUCCAGCAAUGCCGCGUGAGUGAUGAAGGCCUUAGGGUUGUAAAGCUCUUUUACCAGGGAUGAUAAUGACAGUACCUGGAGAAUAAGCUCCGGCUAACUCCGUGCCAGCAGCCGCGGUAAUACGGAGGGAGCUAGCGUGGUUCGGAAUUACUGGGCGUAAAGCGCGCGUAGGCGGUUUAUCAAGUCAGGGGUGAAAUCCCGGGGCUCAACCCCGGAACUGCUCUGUAAACUGGUUCACUAGUAUCCUGGAGAGGCGCGUUGAAUUCCAAGUGUAGAGGUGAAAUUCGUAGAUAUUCGGAAGAACACCAGGGGCGAAGGCGACUCGCUGGACAGGUAUUGACGCUGAGGUGCGAAAGCGUGGGGAGCAAACAGGAUUAGAUACCCCGGUAGUCC